GGGGGUAUAGCUCAAUGGUAGAGCAUUUGACGGCAGAUCAAGAGGUCCCCGGUUCCGGUCCGGGUGCCUCAU
rnacentral:tRNA from 1 species